GUCUCAGGCCGUAUCAGCCUGGGCGCCCGAUCUCGUCUGAUCUCGGAAGCUAAGCAGGGUCGGGCCUGGUUAGUAUCUUGGAUGGGAGACCACCUGGGAAUCCCGGGUGCUCGAGGCU
ensembl:rRNA 5S_rRNA 5S ribosomal RNA